CCUACGGGCGGCUGCAGUGGGGAAUAUUGGACAAUGGGGGGAACCCUGAUCCAGCCAUGCCGCGUGUGUGAAGAAGGCCCUCGGGUUGUAAAGCACUUUCAGUGAGGAAGAACGCCUGGUGGUUAAUACCCAUCAGGAAAGACAUCACUCACAGAAGAAGCACCGGCUAACUCCGUGCCAGCAGCCGCGGUAAUACGGAGGGUGCGAGCGUUAAUCGGAAUUACUGGGCGUAAAGCGCGCGUAGGUGGCUUGAUAAGCCGGUUGUGAAAGCCCCGGGCUCAACCUGGGAACGGCAUCCGGAUCUGUCGAGCUGGAGCGCAGAAGUGGAGGGUGGAACCCCGGGAGUAGCGGUGACAUGCGUAGGAAUAUGGAGGAGGACCGGUGGCGAAUGGGGAAUUCAUGGCUGAAACUGACCCUGAAGUUCGAGAGCGUGGGGAGCAGACAGGAUUAGGUACGCGCGUAGGC
rnacentral:rRNA from 1 species